UUCGCGUUCUAGCCACCAAACUUGCUUCCAAGGAAGCCCAAUAAUGCAGUUUCAAGUUAGAUACUUUGAAGAGGAAAAUCAAUGAAACCCCUGACUCGAGUGAAGAAGAAGAAACUGUGAAUCCUAUCAAAAAGAGGACUAGGUCUGGCAGAAGGCAAAUUGAGUCCCCAAGGCAAUCCAUUCGAAGCUCAAUUUCACCUUGUAGAUGAAGCCCCUUUGGUCAUGGUAGAAGACGACGUUCCUGAUCUAACUAUGAAAUCGGUUGAAGCCCUAUUUUGGAGGUUUCGCUGAAGAGAACCGGGAUUCUGAGGCUCGUACCUUACCAAUAUGUCUACUCGAGAUGAAGGAGGGUCAUCCUCUCGGGCAAGCUUCUCCUUUGUUGAAGGGUUUGAUUGGCCCUCAUUAAAAGGAGAAGUUAAAUUCUCGUUCUACCACUUCUCUUGUUAGAGAUUUAUGGUGAGUCAAUUUUUUACCAAUAUAUUAAGUGAUAUUUUGUAGACUGUAUAAACCUUAAAAAAAGCAUAUGACAUUCCUUGCGACAAAAAAAAAAAGAAUAAUGCUUUGUGAAAAAGUGAAGUGUGAAAGAAAAAGCAUAUGAUUUUCCUUCCGACCAAAACAAGUAAUUCCACCUGUUAAAGAAUCUUUUUUGUAGAAUUUGAACUAAGUAACUUAUUCAAGUUCAAGUGGGACAGGUCAUAAUAAAUUUAGUUUAGUGGACUUACA
rnacentral:lncRNA from 1 species